ensembl:lncRNA
ACUAAGUCCUAAAUCUAUCUGUGACCAGGGAGUGCGUGACAUUCAGCCUCCCCACAUCACAAGGCAACAGAUUCACCGCAAUGAAGUAUUGUUUACCCUUUGACAGAGGGGCAUAUUUGAAAGCAGUUAAUCAGCUGGCUGGAGUGUUUACGGACAUAUUCAAUCUCUCCCUAUCCCAGUCUGCUUGCUUCAAGAUGUCUGCCAUUGUUCCUGUACCCAAGAAAGCAAAGAUCCACAAUCGACAUCGCACUGCACACUACCCUAUCCCAUCUGGAUAAGAGGAAUACCUAUGUAAGAAUACUGUUCAUUGACUAUAGCUCAGCAUUCAACACCAUAGUACCCUCCAAGCUCAUCAUUAAGCUCAGGGCCCUGGGUCUGAACCCCACCCUGUGCAACUGGGUCCUGGACUUCCUGACAGGCAGCCCCCAGGUGGUGAAGGUGGGAAACAAGGGUGCGUGCUCAGCCCCCUCCUGUACUUCCUGUUCACCCAUGACUGCCCUGGGAUUUUGGUGCCAGGAAAAUAACCUCUCACUCAAUGUCAACAAAACAAAGGAGCUGAUUGUGGAAAAAGCAGAGGGAGCACACCCCUAUCUACAUCGACGGGACCGCAGUGGACACGUCUCUGACAAUCAGAAAUAGUCCAGCCAUACAGACGGUGUGGUGAAGAAGGUGCAACAGUGCAACCUCAAGAGGCUGAAUAAACCCUCACAAACUUUUACAGAUGCACAAUUGAGAGCAUCCUGUCGGUCUGUAUCAUCGCCUGGUACAACAACUGCACCACCCGCAACCGCAGGGCUCUCCAGCGGGUGGUGCGGUCUGCCCACCGCAUCACCGGGGGCAAACUACCUGCCCUCCAGGACACUUACCGCACCCGAUGUCACAGGAAGGCCAAAAAUAUCAUCAAGGACAACAACCACCCGAGCCACUGCUCCUGCUAUCAUCCAGGAGGCGAGAUCAGUACAGGUGCAUCAAAGCUGGGACCGAGAGACUUAAAAACAGCUUCUAUCUCAAGGACAUCAGACUGUUACAUUACUAGGCGGAUUCCACCCGGUUAAGCAAUCCUGCACGUUAGAGACUGCUGCCCUAUAUACAUAGACUUGAAAUCACUGGUGUCGUGUCUUUGGCUAUGCCGGAUUAAGUGAUAUGACAUGCUAUUCUAUAAAAUCAUUUCUUCGUAAUUAAUAUUACCUGAUUGAGCUAAUCAUGUAAAUGUAAUUAACUAGAG